GACAGAGGUGCCAAGCGUUAGGCGGAAUCACUGGGCUUAAAGCGUGUGUAGGCGGAAUGGUAAGUACCUUGUGAAAUCCCACGGCUCAACCGUGGAACUGCUUGGUAUACUGCUUUUCUUGAGCCACUUAGGGGCAACCGGAACAAACGGUGGAGCGGUGAAAUGCGUAGAUAUCGGGAGGAACAUCAGUGGCGUAGGCGGCCAUCUGGACCAACACUGACACUGAGGCACAAAAGCGUGGGGAGCAAACAGG
rnacentral:rRNA from 1 species